AGGGUUUGAUCAUGGCUCAGGAUGAACGCUGGCGGCGUGCCUAAUACAUGCAAGUAGAACGCUGAAGGAAGGAGCUUGCUCUUUCCGGAUGAGUUGCGAACGGGUGAGUAACGCGUAGGUAACCUGCCUGGUAGCGGGGGAUAACUAUUGGAAACGAUAGCUAAUACCGCAUAACAACAGUUGUUGCAUGACAGCUGUUUAAAAGGUGCAAAUGCACCACUACCAGAUGGACCUGCGUUGUAUUAGCUAGUUGGUGAGGUAACGGCUCACCAAGGCGACGAUACAUAGCCGACCUGAGAGGGUGAUCGGCCACACUGGGACUGAGACACGGCCCAG
rnacentral:rRNA from 1 species